rnacentral:rRNA from 1 species
UACGUAGGUGGCAAGCGUUGUCCGGAAUUAUUGGGCGUAAAGAGCUCGUAGGCGGUUAGUCGCGUCUGCUGUGAAAACUCGGGGCUUAACUCCGGGCCUGCAGUGGGUACGGGCUGACUAGAGUGCGGUAGGGGAGACUGGAAUUCCUGGUGUAGCGGUGAAAUGCGCAGAUAUCAGGAGGAACACCAGUGGCGAAGGCGGCUCUCUGGGCCUUUCCUGACGCUGAGACGCGAAAGCGUGGGGAGCGAACCGG